rnacentral:tRNA from 1 species
CCGGGUGUGGCGAAAUGGCAGACGCAUUGGACUUAAAAUCCAAUGACCUUUUUGGUCGUGCGGGUUCGAGUCCCGCCACCCGGACCA